CUCGCGGCGAUGACGUCACAACUAGCGCGCGGUCACUCCGUCAGCGUCGAGUCUUCUGAGGAGAGGAGAGCAGAUCACAGUAUUUCACUUAUUUAACUGUUAAAUACACUUUACACAGUUUGUUUGUGCAACACAUUCGAGCUCGUUUCUGCCUUGUUAUCAUCUAGUACAGCACUGUUUGUGUGUUUGCUGACUUAAACACUCAGAACAACAUUGAAGCUCCUCCCACA